ACCAGGAGAAUUAGCAGAUCAGCUCACAGAGCAACAAAUGUGGCCCACACCCAUUCAAGGGAGAGAGAGAGAAAAAAAAACACAUUGCGCAUAGGUCUCCAACUUAACACUCCUGUCAACUUAACAUCAUAACAGUUGCACAAAUUCAUCACGGAAAGGGAGUUGAAAGAAAACGUAUUGCUUGACUUGGACUUGUAUUGACUGUUCAUCAUGGAGGCACCAACAACAGCAGGUACAAUAAGCCACUCGGCAUCGGAAGAGGCCUUCAGCCACAUGGUCAGUCACAUCAUAGAACUCUUCACACAGCCCUCCGUAGCUGAAGAUCUGACAACAACUUCUGCACAUAUGACUGAAACAAUCUCAGACACUUCUGUGGGAGUUCUGAGAACAACUUCUGCACAAAUGAUUGAAACAAUCUCAGACACUUCUGUGGGAGUUCUGACAACAACUUCUGCACAUAUGACUGAAACAACCUCAGAUGCUUUUUUAGUGGGAGCCGCCAUCGUAAAAGGUGUAUCCUUUGAAGUCCUUUUCGUAGGAGUCAUUCUUGUGGUGGUACUGGUGGUGGUACUGGUACUGGUGCUGGUACUGUGUCACAACGGCAAGCAUAAGGGCACUUACCACACCAACGAGGCCGAGUGUGGUGAUUCUGAUUCUGUCGACACGUAUGGUGUUGCCUCUCAAAGCGAACUUGAGAUUUUGAAUGAGGAAGAAUAGAAAGAAGUACACUUCAUUUGAAACAGGACUUUUUCCGAUUCUAAACCGGGGCCAGUUGUCAACUCAAGAUGCCAAAUAUUUUCUACGGAAUUGGUAAUGCCUAUGAUGGUCAUCUAAUUUCAAGGCAACAUUUAUAUGGGGCAUACAACCAUCUCAGCUCUACAGAUUUUGCCACGAAGAGACAGAAUCGUUAGAUCACUUAUUUUUGUAUUGCCCAUAUAUACACUAUAUAUACAAAAUUAUGUGGACACCCAUUAGUGGAUUUGGCUAUUUCAGCCACAUUACAGCCUUAUUUCCCUCAUCAAUCAAUAUAAAGAAACACUUUAAUAAACAAUUAAUAUUCAUUACAUGUGACUAACUUCAAGCUUACAAUUAGUACAGUAGUUAAACCAAUAUCAGAUUGUUGAGGUUUCGAAAAGAUGUAAAAACUAGAGAAAUUUUACAAUCCUUUUUGUCUUCCUUUUAAAAAAAAUGUUUAUACUCAAAAGAUAGUACCUUGUUUGAAUUUCUAUUAUGAGGGUGUUGAGCGAGCUUAAUGCAUAAUAAUGUAUAGCAUUGCUGAAUGUAAUAUCUGUUUUCAAUUUUUUUCUAAAUUGACGUCCAGUAGUAAUCUGAGCUUGUAAAAUGAAAUCAAGGCACAGGCAUCUUUCCUAACGCCAAACUGGAUGUUUUGGUUUUUUUGGCCUGAAGGUACCAAUAACUGAGUAAAGGAAAUGUUACGGCAAGGACCAUAAGAACACACAAAAAUACUUUCAUGAAACUUGAGACAUUUCACCUAUGACAAUACUGGGAACAAAACAGUCAAAAAAAUGUAAAUUCCCCUUCUUCUAAUGCAAGUCUCUGUAACUAAUAUAUUACCAUGUGAUUAAAGAGAAGCGACCUUGUUUUGCCUGAUGAAAACAGUGUCUAAUUAGCAGUAAAACACUUGUUCCAGAGAGGAAGGACUUUUUGUAUCAACAAGGCAACAACAGGGAAGUUUCAAAAGGAAACUGAAGACAGCCGAAUCACACUGCCCCAGCUAGGUGGAAAGGCUUCCAUGUAGUUCAGAGAGGGCAUAUCAACAGGAACGGCCUGAUAAAUGCUCAAAGUAUUAACAUCCCAAAAUACUGUAUCUGUGACUAAAUGUGGUCCAGUUUCUGUUGACGAUAAUGCAUGUCUGUUGUUCUAUCAUGUGAAAGUCCCAUUCGAUUAGCGUUGCGUAUGUAUCAAGCUACACAUUUGAUAAAUUUGCACAGUCAUGGACUAAAUUGUUUUUUUUGUUUUUUCAAAUGAAGAGUUUACUUGUAUACCCAGUCGAAAAAUCGGAUUAUUCAACACAACAUCUGGGUUCAGAAAACCAAGAUAUAGGAGCAAAAGUCUGCACUUCAAUAGUAUGUGUUAAUGAGAUUUAGAAGCUUAUGGAGGAUUUUGUGUUUUCUAUUUUCAUCAAGCUAGAAUAGAGCAAUGCUGUGCCCGAGGCUGCUGAAGGGAAGUUCUGAAUCCUUGAGUAGUGCCAGGCAGCGCUAUGUGGGUUUAAUGCAAUUCGAACAACCCCAGAAACGUUCCUGCAGAGCUGAGCCAGCACACUUUUCAAAAAACCAUGGUGCCUCUGGGAAAUCGUUUUACUCUAAUUGCGCAUUAUUCUUGGUCGGGAUACAAGACAAUACAAGACAAUCUCAAGAUCAUACAUCACCUGAUCUACAGGCUGGCAAAGAGCACUUACUUUUGACCAUUUGAUUGCAAGUUGAAAGUAUUUAUUUCCAUUUGUCUUCCUAAUCAAAGUAUGGGAUAAUUGCAAACCUUUCUCCAAACAGAUUUUUCUUUCAAUUCUCUAAUCAAGUCUAACUUCAAAGCCAGUGACUCAGUGUGUGUUUGAGUGCAUUAGCUAGAGUGCUCUGUCUGAUUGAGGUAAAGACAAUAACGCCAUUGAGACAUCUAUCCAACUGCCGUCCUCACUGACAUCAUAUCAAGUCCUAUUGGUCAGGGGACCAACCAUCAGAGAGGAAAACACUUACAUAAGGUGUGUCCCAAAAAUAGCACCCUAUUUCUUAUUUUGUGCACUAGGGUACUUUUGACCAGGGUCCUAUGGGGGAAUAGGUUGCCACUUGGGACUCGGCCGUGACUUCAGCAGGGCCACUGACACCUCUCAAGGAGAUGGAAAAACCUUUCUACAGGAGUCAUUCCAGGGUCACUGAAGCUAUAGCUUGGCCUAGACAGCUAUACACAAGCACCGGGCGCUUGAAAGGCAAUAAUCAGGAAGUCAGCCUUGCAACCAGCAACCAGCCGCACUUCCCUUUCAAUGUAUUUUUUUAUUCGAAAUCAAAUAACCGUUCAAAAGGCACCCAUUGUGUUCUCUUACAAUUGUAUCCCAGCUUUCCUCCUGGCCUUAGUGUGUGGAGAACAUACUUUUUUAUUGUGACAAUAAGCCAUACUUUGAUAUGGCCCUGAAGGCAUCAACAUAAAUUCAUUUCAUCUUGACUGCUCUGUGAAGCUUGAACAAUGGUAAAGCCAAAGCUGGUGACUUUUCCAUCUCUUCUCCUACUGUCUACGAAAUGGCAUAAAAUAACAAAGAAAUGCUAGUAUUCUCCAUGGAUGAAUGCGGCAUGCGGCUGUAUUUACCUAAAGACAUUGACGAUGAAAACACAGAAUUUCUUUUGAGCUAUGUAGCUAACUCACUCUCUUUGAGUUGUAGCUACCUCACUUUCUUUGAGUUGUAGCUACCUCACUCUCUUUGAGUUGUAGCUACCUCACUCUCUUUGAGUUGUAGCUACCUCACUCUCUCUGAGUUGUAGCUAACUCACUCUCUUUGAGUUGUAGCUACCUCACUCUCUUUGAGUUGUAGCUACCUCACUCUCUUUGAGUUGUAGCUA
ensembl:lncRNA